GCUGACUUGGGCUCGUGGGGCUCUGUCUGCGAGGCUAAAAAGUGCAGUGUAGCUGUUCAGGCUCAGGGUGGAGUCCAACUCUGAAAGCCUGCAAAGGGGUUAGGUCUUUAGAGCCUGGACUACAAGCCAGGCCCAAAGGUCUAAACUGCAAUUUUAAUGCCACAGCCCAAAUCCUGCAAGCCUGAGUCAGCUGACCUGGCUCUGAGAUUCAUUGCUGUUGGUUUUUCAUUGCAGUGUAGAUGUACCCUUAGGUGCUUUUGGAAAAUUACCCAUGUCUCUUCCUUUGGUCUAUCAUUAUAGGUGCAGAACUCCCAAUAAACUAAUCAGUGAUUGAUAUUGCUCAACGGUCCUGAUAAUUACAGGUCACUAAAGAGUACUGUGUUUAAUACCCAAUGAACCAGCAGUGAGAUUUGAAAAAAAAAAAACCUGCUGCCUUAGUCCAUAUACAGUCAGCAUGAAGUGAGUUUGGUUUAUUGAUUCCUAUCAGCUAACGAGAGGGAGGCAGAUUCUGAUUAAAACCGAUCCAAGGAAAAACAGCUUUUUAUGUGCAGUUGUGGAAAACAACUCACCCUAGGAAGCAUCUAAUGCAGAGUCUGGUUACUUGGGGGUGUUUAUAGUAUUGUCAUCUGGGAUGAUUUUUAAAACCAUUCUUCCCUUUAAUUUUUUUUCCUCCCGAUAAAUAUUUGUCUGGUCACUGUUCUUUAAAUAUAAGUUUGCAAAACAGUUGUGAAAAGUAACAUGUGUCCUAUUAUUACCACUAGAGGGAACUAUGUGAACACAAAUUGUUCCAGCAGUACGGACAAUGAGGGAUGCUAGAGGAAUAACAAACUCAAGUCAGAUGUAAGGUAAUGUGCUGUGAAAUACAGAGACUGGGUAUCAUAUGAAUUCAUUAGUUUGCAUAUUUACAAAGCACCUGACAUUCCUCUAUUGUGCUGGGCAGCUAUAAAUAGUUCCCUUUACAGGUUAGAGUCAGUUCUCUACAAUCUAUUAGUGAAGACCUCCAAGAUGACAGUUCUCGCUUGUUAUCUCUGGUUACUGCUUCUCUGGGCUCAGGGCUCCAGUGGGGACAUUGUGCUGACUCAGACUCCAGAGUCCCUGACAGUGUCUCCAGGAGACAAAGUCACCAUCAACUGCAAAGCCAGUUCCAGUGUUAGCGCCAGCUACAUGGCCUGGUACCAACAGAAAUCAGGGCACGCUCCUAAGCUCCUUAUCUACAGCACUUCCACCCAUCCUUCUGGGAUCCCAGACCGGUUCAGCGGCAGCGGGUCAGACACAGACUACACAUUCACAAUCAGCAGCGUUGAAGCUGAUGAUGUUGGAGAUUAUUACUGCCAGCAAAGCCACAGCUACUCUCUCACAGUGAUACAGACCACUACAAAAACCUCCCUGCCAUUGUUUCACUUACAUAGAAACCACAGCUUCUAUUUAACUCUUCCUGUUUCUGUGAAAAUCAAUAGGAUGGUGAUGGAACAAGGACAGCGACUGUUACAAAUGGGAGCAGGAUGGUUAUCAAGAGGCUGUAGGGGGAGUACUGGGUCCAUUGUUGUUGGAGACUGUCAGCUUUUGCUGUGCUGGGGCUGGGCUUCAAUAGCUCUUAAAGAAGCCAUUGGGAAGCCCAUGCUCAUGUAACCAUUUCCUGGUGUUGACUGUCUAGCUACUACUGACCAGUGUCUCAUCUACUGGUGAGAAGGGUUCAGCAGGGCAAUUCUGGCAGUUUCUUGAUUCCUCAGAUUUCCUUGACUCAGGUCAGUCUGGCUAUAGGCCGGAGCAUGGAGUAGAAAUGGCACUGGUUGCACUGGCUGAUGAUCUCCUCCCAG